UAGGGAAUCUUCGGCAAUGGACGAAAGUCUGACCGAGCAACGCCGCGUGAGUGAAGAAGGUUUUUCGAAUCGUAAAACCUCUGUUGGUAGAGAAGAACGUUGGUGAGAGUGGAAAGCUCAUCAAGUGACGGUAACUACCCAGAAGGGACGGCUAACUACGUGCCAG
rnacentral:rRNA from 1 species